CCUACGGGGGGCAGCAGUGGGGAAUAUUGGACAAUGGGGGGAACCCUGAUCCAGCCAUGCCGCGUGUGUGAAGAAGGCCCUCGGGUUGUAAAGCACUUUCAGUGAGGAAGAACGCCUGGUGGUUAAUACCCAUCAGGAAAGACAUCACUCACAGAAGAAGCACCGGCUAACUCCGUGCCAGCAGCCGCGGUAAUACGGAGGGUGCGAGCGUUAAUCGGAAUUACUGGGCGUAAAGCGCGCGUAGGUGGCUUGAUAAGCCGGUUGUGAAAGCCCCGGGCUCAACCUGGGAACGGCAUCCGGAACUGUCAAGCUAGAGUGCAGGAGAGGAAGGUAGAAUUCCCGGUGUAGCGGUGAAAUGCGUAGAGAUCGGGAGGAAUACCAGUGGCGAAGGCGGCCUUCUGGACUGACACUGACACUGAGGUGCGAAAGCGUGGGUAGCAAACAGGAUUAGAUAUCCCAGUAGUC
rnacentral:rRNA from 1 species